CACACACACACACACACACACGCUUCACGCACGAGCAUACCCGCACAACAGCAGAUCCAAAGAAACUGUGUUUUCAACUAUGAAAGUAAAGACAGGACGGCACUUUCUUAAAAACAGACCUUCAGCUAGUUCCACUCGAAGAGCAGACCUAGGGUGAAGCCUGAGAUUCAGUAUGUUAACAAGCUCCCAAGUGAUGGCGAUACUGCUGGUCCAUGGGCCACACUUUAAGAAACAAUUCAAAAGAGGAUAACAGAGAAUCAGAAUGUGGUUCAACAUAUCAUGUAUUGUCUUCGUGAACAUCCUGAGGUUUGUCUUUCCACAAUCCUCCCACUCAUGGUCUACACCCCCUGAAUGCUUCUUGAACAAGCCACAUGAUCUCCUUCUCCAAGUAAGCACUCAUGUUACUCUCCUUUCUAGAACGGUUUCCUCCUGGCCAAUUAAAGUAUAGAACUUCAACCCAA